ensembl:lncRNA
CUUUGCAGACUCUGCUAAUAUGUUCCCCUCCUGAAGGAUACAGCCUCUAUGACUGCAGGCCCACAUCUUACUAAUCUACAGCCCUGGAAAUCCACAGAGGCUGCUGUCGCAGAGAAAUGCUCCUCUUUCCUCCAGGCAGCCCUGGGUGAGGACGCCUGUGUUGGGUAUCCUAAAACUGCUGCCUCUCUGGUGGAAGAGGAGCCUCCAACUAUGAAAUACUACAAACACCACAAGCAGGCCUCAAUUACGUGCUGAAUGCCUGGAAGUCCUAACCCAUGCCACAGGCCUGCCAGAGGGAAAUUUUAAAGUCCAGCAGGAUCUGGGAUGGGAUAUAGGCUGGCAAAGUAAUAAUCACACCCAUUUGACUGAGGAUGCCUUGAAAUGAAACAUGGCAGCUGUGGGAAAGAAGAAAGCAAAUGUUGAUGUGGAGACUGCCCCUCAUCACCUCCUUCCUCUGCCAAAAUGCAACAGCAAGGUGAUUUCUGGGAAUGUUCAUAGUGUAGGAGUUCUCCGACAGCAGUAAACAAGUUACCUGCACAGAGGUGGCUGCAAAAGCAAACUGAAGUAGGAGUUGAUGAGGGAAAAUCGGAAGGCACAGUUAUCGUCAGUCAGCGAGCCGUGGUCAAGUUCAACAAAAGAUUUAAACAGAGCUCCUUUUGCUUCAGAUGAAAUUCUCAUCUGCACUAUGAUGACUCACAGGCUGCAAACCAAGAAAAAAAGGAGAAGAAAUAAUCACCAGGGAAGGAGUGGUGUACAAAAUGGAGGUCAUUCCAAAAGCAACCUGUGGGAGGAUCUACUCUUGUCCACAUGAAAUCAUAACUGCAGCACAGAGCAGGGAGGAUUUUAUUUUUUCUAAGGUGCAUCAUUGUCAGAGAAGUAAUAUAUGAAAACACAUACAAUCAAGGCCUUGGGACCAUUGAAUGAACAUUCCUCUGUCUUCUGGAGAACCUUCUAUUCCCUUGAGACUUGCUUUCUGACUGCUGUUGGAGAUACAACCUUGGCAGGCAGGUUACAGGGCAGAGCAGAGACCAGGGGGACAGAACCCCGUCACUGAGCCAGAGCUGCAGCAGUGCUGACAGUAUCUAGGUCAGAAUGCAGCGAUUCUCCGUGGAUGAUGGAUGGCUGCAGAGCUGAAGGCCAGCACUGGCAGUGGAGCCAAGCACUCCUUUUCCAUCCAAAGGGCACAAAAUCCCCCCUCAUCCAUCCAGCAUCAUUGGGAGGGGGCCCCAUGCCAUAGCCACCAGAGCUGAACUAAUGCCCAUCACUGAUCACUGCUCCACAGAGCCGAGAAAUCAGCGUUGCCAUGGGAUUCGGAUACAAUAAGCCAAAGGAUCUGGAUAUCAACCAAGUGCCCAGCUACCAGGGCCCUAAAAACAAAACUGAUGCUGAAUCUCUCCUCUAAAAACGUCACACUUCUCUUUCUCGCACAGGAGAACAAUGUCAAAUGUUACCCCAUAUUAUUCUCGUGUUUUGAAUAUCUGCACUUUGAAGUUUGUUUGGCUCCAGGCAAGCUUGUGCACUCAAACAUUUAUGUGCUUCCUCCAAACACCUUCAUUGGCCUAAUGAAAGAUAAUGCCUCAGCCAACAACCGUACUGUCCUCAAUGAGAUACAGCUUUGGAAGCCAGCCCACCAACCAUUCACAGACCAUAUAUCACAACGAUGACCAUGAACCUUCUCCCUCCUGCUACUGUGCCUCAGCCCGCUGUGACCAGAUCAUGAAAGGAUCAGUGCUUUCCCUAUAUGUCAUCCCCUAGCACUGUAAGACUGGCACCUGUCUCAAGAUUUGUGCUAAGCCCUGGGUCUUCCUCAGAGAUUGAUUCGUGCAGCCAUGGCUUUCGGUGUCAGAAGAGACCACAGGAUCACCCUGCCUGGUAGCAGAGGUCAUCAGUUUCACAGGGUUCACACCAACUCAUGCUUUGUUGAAGCACGUCCCUCAAACAGAUGACAGUCCCCUCUUGAUUUGACAGCUGCAGAGGAUGGAAGAUCUGUAUCUUCCCACUACUGACAGAAGUUUAUAAGGUCAUUCGUGAGGUUUAUUCCCAGUUAUUGAAAGCACCAGGGGAACUUUCCUGUUUGUCUUGAUUCCUGGCAGAAGACAACAUCUAGUUCUGUGCUCCUGACCUAAACUGUUAAACUGUGAUGCCAACCAUCUAACCAGCCUGCCUUCCCAGCAAGGCCUUACUGUCUAUGAAGUGCCCUAUAACCUGGGAUUUUGAGUAGCAAUACUAAGAAAAGGAGGGUGCCAAAAAAAAUGUUCACACUUCUGAGCUGCUUCUGCAGUGAUGGGGAAAGAGGGCUGAUAUUAACAAGUGUUUGGGGGCAGGAACUGUCUGUUAUUUGUAUUUCAGGCGAUAGCUAACACAUUAUAGGCGUUAAUCUAAUAAUAUUCACUGGCUGUCUGAUACAGGAUGCUUUGUCUGAACUAGCCAGCCUAACACAGAUCGCCGCUUUGUUUCUGCCAUAGUAGAACUUACCAGAACAGCAUUUUUUACUAUGAACAUUUCUGCCUCAAUCCUGCGCGUUCUGAUGCUGGGUAACUUCCUCUCCCAACUGGCACUGAACAAAAAGACCUGGAGUAUAAACCACGUGGUUUAGCGAGCACACAGUGCUUGCUCAUCGUAGGUGGGCACACACAGAGGUGCAGCAGCUGACUGGCCACCACGACCUCAUGCAGAUCUCAGCUUGUUCCCUCACCCACAGCAGUGCCCUCAUGAUGCAGUGCUGUUGUUCGGUUCAGUACAGAGAUGGCUGUGCAAAGUCUCAUUGAUGAGAACAGGGGGCAGUUUUUGAAGAUUAUAUAGUGCACAUUUAAUUAAUAAAUCCCUGUUAGCGGCCCUGGUUAGAAAAAGACAGGGCUUCUGCACCUUUUCAGCUUGCAGAUGUGAUGCACCAAAAAAUUCCCUUUCUGUUCUCAGCUCCGCGAUGUGGAUAUCCUCACUGGGAGCUGACAGAAAGCAAGGCACAGGAAGGACCUCCUCCACUGUGUGUUCUGUGCCCACCAAAGCUGCUCUUAUCUACCUCCGGAGAAGACAGAAAAAAGCAAUCUUGUGGCCCAGACAGAUCCCGGUGGAGCAGGAAGCACUGCACCACACAGGGUAAAACUGGUACAAAAUGUUACUAAUCAAACACGUGGAAAGAAACGAAGGGGAGAGAGAACAAAACUGUCAUUACCCACUAUUUUGACUGUUGAAUCUGGACUAUUCAUAGUAACACACCAAGUGUAUCCAUCCUACUGCAGUAACGAGUGACAGCCGACUACUCAACAAUUAGGUUUUCCUUCUCCACCUCCAAAAUUAAGGUCGUAACCUCUUGUAUUUACUUUCGGGAUGUGGUAAAUUAGAGCUUUGGCUUCAUUGCAAAAAUUAAUUAAAGCAGUCACACAAUGGUACCAUUCAUUGCUGUUCUCGUCCCUCCCCGCAGUCUGUCCUCAUGUCAGCUCUCUUUGGUUUUAGUCCCAAAUUCCAGUACGUGCUCGCCUGAAUGUAUUAUUUGGGUAAGUAGGCUAGAUUUUUCUUUUUGUCUAUCGCCUUUGCUUCGUUGGAAGAGCUCCUCUUGUUUCUGAUUCUUCUGUUUCCUUUUCUGAAGAAAGCGCACGCCGGCAGCCUUCAGCCCCAUCUUACCUACCCAGAAGCUUUCGCCUGUGUAGUUUGCAGCAGAACUGGGCUCACAGGAAAGCACUCACCUCAAGAUUUCUCCUCACCGACAUCCCAGGUGUCUGGUUCCGUAAAAGAGGAUCGGUGUUCAAGUUGCUUUCAUCAGAAUUUCAAAAAGUAAACACAGCUAAAUAGGAAGAAAAAUAUAUAUAUAUUCCAUACUUUUGUGGAGCUGGAAGUCUGCCCAUUGAAAUAUGUUGUGGCUUUUUUUUUUUUUCAGAAGCCUUUCUUUUGUGAAUGUAAUGCUUGUUUUCAAAGCUGGAUUUAUAGACUGGCAAAAUAAUGUUCUCCUUUAUAGGAGAAAGUGUUGCAUAACGUUUCAUAAGACCACAUCCCGAGGUGGUUCAGCACGCUCUGUGUACCGAUAAACACGGACAGCAGAGAGUUCAGGAAUACUGACCUACUAAAACGUGUGGCUUGCUGAGAACUCUGAUUUCAUAUCCUAUCUAAAGGCUAAAGCAAAAGGAUUGUCUGACAAAGGUUUGGGCUAAUGCAGAUGCAGGAGGUACAAUACAGCAGGCAACUUUGGCACUUCUAUGCAGUUCUACUGAAGUCGAAGUUGACGCUGCUAAGAAGAAAGGCACACAAACUGUUUGCAGAAACGACACCUAUUAUAGGCUUGAUUUCUUCAGAGUGCUUAAUACAAACAUAAACUUUCUUUUUUUUAAACUUACUGCUCACCUUCAUGAGUGUACUGAGGAAAUUUAAUCCAAACACCCAGAGCAGGGGCCCAGGGCCUUGUCCAGGUGGCUUUUGAUCUCUAAGGAGACACCACAGCCUCUCUGGGCAACCUGUGUCAGUGCCCAGCCACCUGCAUGGCACACAAGUGCUUUCUGAUGUUCAAGGGGAAUCUCCUGUGUUCCAGUUCGUGCUAAUGCCUCUUGUCCUGCAAGAGGUUUAGGAGAUGGCUAGAAGGACGCCUUUACUGAACGUACCAACCUGAGCCAGCAAAUGUUUGGUUUUUUAAACGCAUCCAGGGAUGGUGACUCAACCACCUCCCUGGGGAGCCUAUUCCAGUGCUUAACAACCCUUUCUGUAAAGAAGUGUUUCCUGAUAGCCAACCUAUACUUACCUGGCACAAUUUGAGGCCAUUUCCCCUCAUCCUGUCACCUGUCAGCAGUGAGAAGAGGCCAACCCCACUCUCACUGUAAGCACCUUUCAGAUAUUUGAAAAGAGCAAUAAGGUCUCCCCUCAGCGUCCUUUUCCUCAGACUGAACAGCCCCAGUUUCUUCAGUCUCUCCUCACAGGACAUAUUCUCCAAGCCCUUCACAAGCCUUGUUGCCCUCCUUUGGACCUGCUCCAGCACCUCACUGUCCUUUCUGUAUUGAGCGGUUAGCAAGAACAUUUCAGCUUUCCACUAUCAAAGAACAAAAACCCCACCAGUCUGUAAUGUCCAAGCAUGCACGCCCUGAUUCUCAUCUUUUGUGCCUUGUGAAUAGAGACAGAUGUGGCAUGGACUAUUUUUUCCUAUUUGCUGGUGAGGAGGGAAGAGGAAGAUUGAUAUCAGUCCUUCAAAAAUAAUCAUCUCAUGCCCAGUGUGCUCUGAAUGAACUACAUCCCAUGCUGGAUUUUGAAAAUGUACUGUUAUUUUCGGUUGUGGUUUUUGUUUUUGUUUUUGUUUUUUUCCAGUGAAAAGCUUACAGCUGAAAAUGAGACUGCAUUGAUAUUUUGCUGCAGAGUUGUUGCCUGUAGGUAGGCUUUAGAUGGAGCUGUUCCGUGCAAAUCAAUCCGGGCAAAGCAAUAGCAGCUGCUAUUUUGCCAGCAAGCAGAAAUGUUUGCAGAGGUACCCACAGUACAGUGAUGCUGCUUGAUAAUUUAAAA